ensembl:ncRNA lncRNA:CR42715 long non-coding RNA:CR42715
ACAUUGUGUAAUUAUACAUAUGCUUAUUUUACGGACCUGCGGCUUGCAGUUAUUAGCCGAACGGCAGCAGACUCUUGCCGCAGCAACAAACAUUUUCAAUUUCCCAGCGACGCCAGGUGUGCGCCGCUGUGGGCGCAAAAUUCAGGGGGCGGCGGCAGGUGGAAGAGGUGGUGUGUGUGUGUGUGUUCAAAGCUCGGGAGCAGCGCCGCGAGCAUUCCAAACCGAAACAAGGUGAUGUGGCCAGGAUGACGACGGUGCUGGAAAUGUGGCUCACAGUUACCGCUGAUGAGGAAAUUGUUUCGAAAAUCACCGGGAAAGUGCAAUACGCUUGGAAAUC